UACGUAGGGGCAAGCGUUGUCCGGAUUCAUUGGGCGUAAAGAGCUCGUAGGCGGUUGGCAAGUCGGGUGUGAAUCUCUGGGCUCAACUCAGAGAGGCCACUCGAUACUGCUAUGACUAGAGUCCGGUAGGGGACCAUGGGAAUUCCUGGUGGUAAGCGGUGAAAUGCGCAGAUAUCAGGAGGAACACCGGUGGCGAAGGCGGCAUCCUGGACCGGCAAUUGACGCUGAGGCGCGAAAAGCU
rnacentral:rRNA from 1 species